AGUCCUGUAGCUCAGUGGGAGAGCGCCUCUUUUACAACGAGGAAGUCGCAGGUUCAAAUCCUGUCAAGGCUACCA
rnacentral:tRNA from 2 species